UACGAAGGGGGCUAGCGUUGCUCGGAAUCACUGGGCGUAAAGCGCACGUAGGCGGGUCGUUAAGUCAGGGGUGAAAUCCUGGAGCUCAACUCCAGAACUGCCUUUGAUACUGGCGAUCUCGAGUCCGGGAGAGGUGAGUGGAACUGCGAGUGUAGAGGUGAAAUUCGUAGAUAUUCGCAAGAACACCAGUGGCGAAGGCGGCUCACUGGCCCGGUACUGACGCUGAGGUGCGAAAGCGUGGGGAGCAAACAGG
rnacentral:rRNA from 1 species